UACAGAGGGGGCAAGCGUUAUUCGGAAUUAUUGGGCGUAAAGGGCGCGUAGGCGGCCUGACAAGUGGAAGGUGAAAUCCCUCGGCUUAACCGAGGAACUGCCCUCCAAACUGUUUGGCUUGAGACCGGGAGAGGUGAGUGGAAUUCCCAGUGUAGCGGUGAAAUGCGUAGAUAUUGGGAGGAACACCAGUGGCGAAGGUGGCUCACUGGACCGGUACUGACGCUGAGGCGCGAAAGCGUGGGGAGCAAACAGG
rnacentral:rRNA from 1 species